rnacentral:lncRNA from 1 species
CAUCCCAUAUCCCAGUAAAAAAUUCUCAUCAAUUUUUCGUGUUGCUCCUCUUCUUCCAAUUUAGCUUUCAUCUUCUCUUCGAUUUUUCCCCUCUCGUUAUUUUCUUUUUAUAUCUGUUCUCUGGCAAACAAAAUCAUUGAAGACAAAUGGGACUGUGACGGUGGUUCUUGUGGUGGUGAUUUGUCUUGCUCCUCUUCUUGUUCUACAUGAUUUUUAAUUUCGAAUUCAAUCGUGAUUUUUGUGAGAAAUUAACAUUCA